rnacentral:rRNA from 1 species
AGGUUGACCUCGGAUCAGGUAGGGAUACCCGCUGAACUUAAGCAUAUCAAUAAGCCCGGAGGAA